rnacentral:rRNA from 1 species
AUUGAACGCUGGCGGCAGGCCUAACACAUGCAAGUCGAGCGGAGCGGCGGACGGGUGAGUAAUGCCUAGGAAUCUGCCUGGUAGUGGGGGAUAACGUCCGGAAACGGGCGCUAAUACCGCAUCCUCUCAGAUGAGCCUAGGUCGGAUUAGCUAGUUGGUGGGGUAACGGCAUACCAAGGCGACGAUCAGUACCUGUGCUGAGAGGAUGAUCAGUCACACUGGAACUGAGACACGGUCCCGAAUCCUACGGGAGGCAGCAGUGGGGAAUAGUGGACAAUGGGAGAAAGCCUGAUCCAGCCAUGCCGCGUGUGUGAAGAAGGCCUUCGGGUUGUAAAGCACUUUCAGCGGGGAGGCGUUACCCGCAGAAGAAGCACCGGCUAACUCCGUGCCAGCAGCCGCGGUAAUAC